UACAGAGGGUGCAAGCGUUGUUCGGAAUUAUUGGGCGUAAAGCGCGUGUAGGCGGCUUUGCAAGUCGGGUGUGAAAGCCCUCAGCUCAACUGAGGAAGUGCGCCCGAAACUGCAGAGCUUGAGUACCGGAGAGGAUGGUGGAAUUCCCCAAGUAGAGGUGAAAUUCGUAGAUAUGGGGAGGAACACCGGUGGCGAAGGCGACCAUCUGGACGGAUACUGACGCUGAGACGCGAAAGCGUGGGUAGCAAACGGG
rnacentral:rRNA from 1 species